rnacentral:tRNA from 1 species
GAGAUAUAUGCUAAGAAUUAAAGCUUCUAACUUUCCUCUAAGCGGUUAAAUUCCGUUAAUAUCUUG